UUUACUGUACACUUAGAGUAGAUUCUAUCUGUUAAGUAAAAUAUAUAUGUAAAUUUAAUGUCCUUGUGUUCUGAAUGUUAGAUGGAACAGUAGAGGAGCAACACUACACUGUACCAACCCCUGGAUUAACCGAGAUUAAUAUAAAUGGAGUAUGUCACUCAAGAAUAUGCACACCUGCGUUUAUCUAUGGUUCUCAUUCAUUUAUGUGAUGUGAACAUUUGAAACUUCUUUUUGACUUUAGAAGGUUCUUAGUGUUCACUUUUAUCAGGGAUUAUGUUUUUCUGUGGCAAAUACUAUUCCUCAGAGCAAAAACAGUCAAGUAAGGAACUCAAACCCAACAGGAUUCUAGAUUUACCUAGCCAUAAGAAAUUAAAUCUCAUAUUUGUAUCAUCUGUGUCUCCUUUACAUCCCAUUUUCCUGCAGUGGCAUAUGAAACCAGGAUCCCUUUUAAGUUUUUAUAACUUUUCCCUUCCUAAGGAGUUCUUCUCUUUCUAGGUUAUUACUGUAUUUCUACUACAACAUUAAGGCUAAAAUGACCUUAUGAAAGAAUGAAAAUACUAGAAUGGGGUACCUAGAAUAAGCAAUCUUGCUCCUCUCCCAUCACCUCUAAUGAAAUUUUCUUAAUGUCUGUGGCUCAGUCAGUAUAUAUUUUGAAAGAUCCAUUAUUGUGAAUGUUUUGAGUCCUGACAGUUUAAAAAUGAUAGAGGGAACAAAGGAUUUAUAUAUUUUUUGUAUAAAGUUUUUCUUAAACUGUAUAAUUUUGUAAAUAAUUUGGUUUUUUUGUGUACUAAAACUACCAGCGUAUAGAUUUCAAUAAGAAUUGUUGUAUUUUUGUAUUUGGAAACUGAAGAUUACAGUAAAUUAAUGGAGCUGUAAGAAAAAUUUUGGUAGACUGGCACAGUUCAAUAGAAUGGGAUUCCUUUUCAUGUGAUUUUUUUUUUUAACCUCUAAACUGACACCUUGCAAUCUCAGUUCAGAGAGUGAGCAGAUGAGGGAUGUGUUUGGGUUUUUACUUACUGGGGUGGGAGGGGAAGAGACAAAGAAAAUUGAGAAGGUAAAAAUGAAGAACCAAUAGAAACUUUAGUCAGAUGUGAAAUCCUUGUAUAAACCUUUUCAGCACUCCCUACUAUUUCUAGACCACUCAAGCAUCCUAAAUAUAAUUUCUGGGGAUUUUAGAAAAGAUUUGAGCCUCUCAAAUGAAUUCAAAUACAGGCUGUUUAUAUUAUUAGAAAAUUGAAGUGAUGAUUUAGCAUAAAGUAGCUUAAACAUUUUCCUACAUAAGAUUUUUUUUUAAAUCCUAGAUUUUUUUUUUUUUUUUGUAAAAGUGGGUAACUACUGUGACUAAUUUUUCUCUUGUUGGUAGCUUCAUUUUAUGAAAUAACGACAGCCUCUGUAGUAUAUUCUACUGUUCUUUGUAAUGCGCAUGACAUCUUUAUAAGCAGCUGAUCACUAAAAGAAAAUGAUACCAACCUACUUGCUCAGCUUAGUUUACCAAUGGGUUGCUUCCCAUGCUCAAGAUUCAACCCAGGGAUGUAUAGAGUUUCCCUCAAUUUCUUCAUGUUAUAAUUUUAAGACAAAAAUUUUCAACAGCUAAAAUAAAUUGGAAAACAUUAUCCUGUUAAGAUGAAAUAGGUAAUGACAGCGACAGGUCAUUAGUACAAAAAGAAGAAAAAAAUCAUGUGAAAAGGAAUCGUGGUUCCUCUUGAUGUAUAGGAUGCCUGUAUUAUAGUUUUUUUUUCAAAAUUGUGACCUUGUGUAAUAGCAUAAUAGGAG
rnacentral:lncRNA from 1 species